GACGAACGCUGGCGGCGUGCUUAACACAUGCAAGUCGAACGGAAAGGCCCUUCGGGGUACUCGAGUGGCGAACGGGUGAGUAACACGUGGGUAAUCUGCCCUGCACUUCGGGAUAAGCCUGGGAAACUGGGUCUAAUACCGGAUAGGACUCCUUAGCGCAUGCUUUGGAGUGGAAAGCUUUUGCGGUGUGGGAUGGGCCCGCGGCCUAUCAGCUUGUUGGUGGGGUGACGGCCUACCAAGGCGACGACGGGUAGCCGGCCUGAGAGGGUGUCCGGCCACACUGGGACUGAGAUACGGCCCAGACUCCUACGGGAGGCAGCAGUGGGGAAUAUUGCACAAUGGGCGCAAGCCUGAUGCAGCGACGCCGCGUGGGGGAUGACGGCCUUCGGGUUGUAAACCUCUUUCACCAUCGACGAAGGUUCGGGUUUUCUCGGAUUGACGGUAGGUGGAGAAGAAGCACCGGCCAACUACGUGCCAGCAGCCGCGGUAA
rnacentral:rRNA from 1 species